AUUGAACGCUGGCGGCAUGCCUAACACAUGCAAGUCGAGCGAGCUGAUUCCUUCGGGAUGAAGCUAGCGGCGGACGGGUGAGUAACACGUGGGCAACCUGCCUCAUAGAGGGGAAUAGCCUUCCGAAAGGAAGAUUAAUACCGCAUAAGAUUGCAUCUUCGCAUGAAGAAGCAAUUAAAGGAGCAAUCCGCUAUGAGAUGGGCCCGCGGCGCAUUAGCUAGUUGGUGAGGUAACGGCUCACCAAGGCGACGAUGCGUAGCCGACCUGAGAGGGUGAUCGGCCACAUUGGGACUGAGACACGGCCCAGACUCCUACGGGAGGCAGCAGUGGGGAAUAUUGCACAAUGUGGGAAACCCUGAUGCAGCAAUGCCGCGUGAGUGAUGACGGCCUUCGGGUUGUAAAGCUCUGUCUUCGGGGACGAUAAUGACGGUACCCGAGGAGGAAGCCACGGCUAACUACGUGCCAGCAGCCGCUGUAA
rnacentral:rRNA from 1 species